CGAAGCUUGCAGCUUCCAGGGAGAGGAGAAAUGAGAAAAAGCUCCCGAAACCUUACGUUAAUUUCCGAUCCUCGUAACUUCUCCGUCCGAGCUCCGAUCGCCGCACCGUUUGCGGCCACGCGUUCACCACGUCGAGCUCUACGUUUCUAUUGGAACAAUUUCAUAGGAUCCAAUUAGCUUGAGAAAAAUAUUCACUCUUGCUUAUGUGAAGCUUGGGUAAGGUUGUGAAUAAAUAAUUGGAGCUUGAAAUUGUGAAUACUGGAACUUGGAGGAAGCGGAUUAGUUGAGUUUUGAGGGGCUGUCUUGGUUUUGAAUAAAUAGCUUUAGUCGUUACGUGGAAAUCGGCCAAGGUUGAGAGGCAUCUCGUUAGGCGUCUGGACUCUUGAAGCGAAGUGGUUACUGGGUUUAUUUUGUUGUACAGUGAUGUAUAUAUAUAUAUAUAGAACCUCCGGUUCUCAUUCCAUACUAUGUUAUUGUUUUUCAUAUGCAGGUUGAGAGGCAUCUCGUUAGGCGUCUGGACUCUUGAAGCGAAGUGGUUAUUGGGUUUAUUUUGUUGUACAUUGAUAUAUAUAUAUACCUAGCUUUCUCUCUGCAUGACUUGUUCUUUUUGAUUCUCUUAAAGGUUUAUGGAGA